UAAUACGGAGGGGGCCAGCGUUGUUCGGAAUCAUUGGGCGUAAAGGGCGCGUAGGCGGCCUGGCAAGUCCGUUGUGAAAGCCCCCGGCUUAACCGGGGAACUGCGGCGGAUACUGCCGGGCUCGAGUCCCGGAGAGGGUAGCGGAAUUCCCAGUGUAGCGGUGAAAUGCGUAGAUAUUGGGAGGAACAUCGGUGGCGAAGGCGGCUACCUGGACGGGUACUGACGCUGCAGCGCGAAAGCUAGGGGAGCAAACAGGAUUAGAUACCCUGGUAGUCCUAGCUGUAAACGAUGGGCACUUGGUGUUGCGGGUAUCGACCCCUGCAGUGCCGAAGCUAACGCAUUAAGUGCCCCGCCUGGGGAGUACGGUCGCAAGGCUG
rnacentral:rRNA from 1 species